rnacentral:lncRNA from 1 species
GCACAACCCUGAGCACAACUGUCUUCAUCUGAACUUUAGUGGAUGAGAUGCUGGGAAAUGCAAGGGAAGGCAGAAUUCUUCCUCCUCCAUCUACCAAAAGAGGAGAAGAGCUACCUGGGAGAGUGAUGAAGUGAGAAAUUGCUGACAGAGUGAAUUUCUUUCCACACUGAAUAAGAAGGUUGUACUGUAACAUGGACCAUGAUGUUAUUUUGCUUUCUUGGUGUGGCGAUUGCACACACAAAUUCUGCCAGACCACCCAUCUGGGUGGGUGUGUACAGCUACAAGAACUACCUUCACACAUACAUUGCAGAGAGAAGCUGCUACUGACGGCUGAAGAAAAGGCUGCUGAAAACAAGAGCCAUAAGCCUUACGCCCACGGUAUGCAAGAAUGUUUUUCAUGUACUGCCAUCUGCUGUCGCAGCGUACCCAUUUCAUCACUACACUGUUCUCCUGGGGUUUUCAUUCCAGAAGCAAGCACAUCCCUUCCAAGAAGUCUGUUAAAAAUGCAGUUAAGUUGGAAGAACUGCUUUAAUUCAUACGUGCUCUGCCUGAUACAGCAUGCAAUGAGAUUCUAAAAAUUCUGCUUUCAGUUGUGGCAAUAGCCAAAGGAGUGUUAUUUUUUCUCCCAUUUAACUUAUUCACUAGUAAGUUUGUAUCUUUAGUCAGACCAUAGCCAGAGCAUUCGUAUUCUAAAUCAGCAGUAAAUUUACAGCAAAACAUACACACACGUAUCACAAGCUUCACAUAUAUUUAUACACACUGAAAUUAUAAAAGAUCAUGCAAGUGCAUAAAUACAUUUACAUGUACUGCUGUACUUAUUCAGACUGCUGGUUCAGAAUACAUGUUAUGGUUUGCAUAUAUAUAAGCUACGGAUUUGCAUCCAAAAUCUGAUCAGUUAGCACCUUGUUCCCUACAUGUGUAUUAUAAAAAAAUAGAACGUAGUGUUUCAGAAGCUGGUAGGAAAAUAAAAGACUUUGUGUGUAAUUGAAUAAGGGGUGA